AGCGGUGAGUGCUUUGGGGUGGGGUGACUGCGUACCUUUUGUAUAAUGGGUCAGCGACUUAUAUUCUGUAGCAAGGUUAACCGUAUAGGGGAGCCGAAGGGAAACCGAGUCUUAACUGGGCGUUAAGUUGCAGGGUAUAGACCCGAAACCCGGUGAUCUAGCCAUGGGCAGGUUGAAGGUUGGGUAACACUAACUGGAGGACCGAACCGACUAAUGUUGAAAAAUUAGCGGAUGACUUGUGGCUGGGGGUGAAAGGCCAAUCAAACCGGGAGAUAGCUGGUUCUCCCCGAAAGCUAUUUAGGUAGCGCCUCGUGAACUCAUCUUCGGGGGUAGAGCACUGUUUCGGCUAGGGGGUCAUCCCGACUUACCAACCCGAUGCAAACUGCGAAUACCGAAGAAUGUUAUCACGGGAGACACACGGCGGGUGCUAACGUCCGUCGUGAAGAGGGAAACAACCCAGACCGCCAGCUAAGGUCCCAAAGUCACAGUUAAGUGGGAAACGAUGUGGGAAGGCUCAGACAGCCAGGAUGUUGGCUUAGAAGCAGCCAUCAUUUAAAGAAAGCGUAAUAGCUCACUGGUCGAGUCGGCCUGCGCGGAAGAUGUAACGGGGCUAAACUGUGCACCGAAGCUGCGGCAGCGACGCUUAUGCGUUGUUGGGUAGGGGAGCGUUCUGUAAGCCUGCGAAGGUGUCCUGUGAGGGAUGCUGGAGGUAUCAGAAGUGCGAAUGCUGACAUAAGUAACGAUAAUGCGGGUGAAAAGCCCGCUCGCCGGAAGACCAAGGGUUCCUGUCCAACGUUAAUCGGGGCAGGGUGAGUCGACCCCUAAGGCGAGGCCGAAAGGCGUAGUCGAUGGGAAACGGGUUAAUAUUCCCGUACUUGGUGUUACUGCGAAGGGGGGACGGAGAAGGCUAUGUUGGCCGGGCGA
rnacentral:rRNA from 1 species